UACAGAGACUGCGAGCGUUAUUCGGAUUCACUGGGCGGAAAGGGUGCGCAGGCGGCCAAAUGUGUGAGGCGUGAAAGCCCGGGGCUUAACCCCGGAAUUGCACCUCAAACUAUUUGGCUAGAGCAUUGGAGAGGGAAGCGGAAUUCACGGUGUAGCAGUGAAAUGCGUAGAUAUCGUGAGGAACACCAGAGGCGAAGGCGGCUUCCUGGACAAUUGCUGACGCUCAGGCACGAAAGCGUGGGGAGCGAACAGG
rnacentral:rRNA from 1 species